UGGUUGGUUUGCUGACUGGCAGGCUUGUUGGCUUCCUCUUCUUGGCAAUUAUCGUUGACGAUGGUUUUCGGUCUAUGUAGAUUACUUCUAGAUGAAUGCGGUGUUUGUUGUUUGUUUGGUUGGUUGGUUGGUUGCUAUGUGUUUGUGGUGGAUCUAGUUGAAAAAGCUGCGCAUGCUCAGUCUCAUAGGUUUUUAGUUUGGAUGAUUUUUGCUGUGGUUGUCGUCUCGUUGGACUUGCUAUCUGCUGCUGGCUCCCUCUCAAAGCGCCUCUCUUUCUCGGAGCUUCAGGCCACCACAGCUGACUGGUUUAAUUUGCAUAUUUCUGUUGGAUCUUCUGAAACAAGAAUAAAAAACAACAAAAAUUAGCAUGUGUUAGAAAUACAAAUAUUUAUAAGAAAAUA